rnacentral:tRNA from 1 species
GGGCUUGUGGUCUAGUGGUAUGAUUUUCCCUUAGCAUGGGAAAGGUCCUGGGUUCAAUUCCCAGCAAGUCCA